CCUACGGGAGGCAGCAGUGAGGAAUAUUGGUCAAUGGGCGCGAGCCUGAACCAGCCAAGUAGCGUGAAGGAUGACUGCCCUACGGGUUGUAAACUUCUUUUAUAAAGGAAUAAAGUGAGGCACGUGUGCCUUUUUGUAUGUACCUUAUGAAUAAGGAUCGGCUAACUCCGUGCCAGCAGCCGCGGUAAUACGGAGGAUCCGAGCGUUAUCCGGAUUUAUUGGGUUUAAAGGGAGCGUAGGAGGGUUGUUAAGUCAGUUGUGAAAGUUUGCGGCUCAACCGUAGAAUUGCAAUUGUAACUGGCAGCCUUGAGUACAUUUGCGGUAGGCGGAAUUCGUGGUGUAGCGGUGAAAUGCUUAGAUAUCACGCAGAACCCCGAUUGCGAAGGCAGCUUACUAAGC
rnacentral:rRNA from 1 species